UACGGAGGGUGCAAGCGUUGUUCGGAAUUAUUGGGCGUAAAGCGCGUGUAGGCGGCUUUCUAAGUCUGGUGUGAAAUCCCGGAGCUUAACUCCGGAACUGCACUGGAUACUGGAAAGCUAGAGGGCGAGAGAGGAUGGUGGAAUUCCUGGUGUAGGGGUGAAAUCCGUAGAUAUCAGGAGGAACAUCAGUGGCGAAGGCGGCCAUCUGGCUCGCACCUGACGCUGAGACGCGAAAGCGUGGGGAGCAAACAGGAUUAGAUACCCUGGUAGUCCACGCCCUAAACGAUGGAUACUAGACGUUGGGGAGCCUAAUCUCCUCGGUGUCGUAGCUAACGCAUUAAGUAUCCCGCCUGGGAAGUACGGUCGCAAGAUUAAA
rnacentral:rRNA from 1 species